AGGGCAAAUCCCAAAAUAGAGCUGGUGUCUGAGGUGGUCCCAGGAAGCAGAUCUCCAGAAUAGGAUUCUGGAAUUGGACCACUCACCUUCCAGAUGGCAAUAAGGAUUCCAUUGCUGAGGUUGGACCACUGGGAACUGCGUGAAGCAUGAAUUGCCUUUUGGCAAUGACAUUGAAACUAGGAAACGCUGACUAGUGCGUUUACUAUGUGCCAGGCACUGUCUGACGUGCAUUAUAUGCUGUAUUUCAUGGAUCCUCACAACCCCAGGAAGAAGGUUCUAGACAUCACCUGCUUCCAUUCUGGCAUCUGAGCAGACUAAAGCCCAGAGAAGUGAAGUAAAUUGCCCAAGGUCACACAGCUGGAAAAUGCUAGAGCUGGAAUAUGAGCUAAGUCACCUGGGCCAUCAUGACUCUACACAGUGAGGCACCAUAAUGAAAACAAGGCUGAUGUGGGGGGACACUUUACACA